CAGGCUGUUCUGGCUGUGGAUACAGGAUUUCUGCAGAUCUUGACCAAAGACAGUCUGACGCUGAGGUGUGAGGUUGAGGGAAGCUCUGUUGGAUGGAGCUACACAUGGUACGCAGAUGGAUCUCAGCUUCCUGAAGACCAGGAUGGACAGACCUUCACUGUGAGAUCUGGGAAUGGCUCCUAUCACAGGGAAUAUAGAUGUAGAGGGAACAGAACUGAAGAACCAUUUUACUCCACAAUCAGCAACGGUUUGGUGCCCAGUAUCAUUAUUUCACAGGCUGUAGAGAAUGUGUCUCGGAUCGGUGUCGGAUCGGCUGUUAUGAUUCUCCUCUGUAUUAUUCUGAUGCUAGAAUUCUGUGGAAGACCAAGGUGUGGUACAGCCCCAAGGCACACGGCCGAUUGUACAUGACAAACCAAGAGAUCACUAAAUACUGCACAGAUAUCUAGUGACUAUAAUCAGCCACCAGCACGGAGAUAAGUGACAGAUUUUGGUAGUUUAAAAAGACAUGUUCAGCAUGUGUGACGCAUCGUACGGCUUUAUGAAUUUACCACAUUGUGUACAUUUUGAUGAUAGUCCUAGUUUAUUUUACAAUGUUAGAUCUGUCUUUUGAUAUUUUAUAAGAUUUCAGUAAAAUAUGAAAUGUGACUGAUCAUACAAGCGUUUUAUUUUGCAUGGUUUUAAUUACAUUUUGUCAUCUUUUAAACUGUGCACUCGCUUUAACAUGGAAUGAGAUUAAACCUUUUAAACUCAUAAUGAAAAUGAUCUAUUGUUACUGUCAUGACCUGCUCAUACGAUCCUUUCAUGUGCCAUGCCCCCCUCGUUACCUCGUGCAGCUGUGAAACCCCGAUUGUUACCAGCUGUUUCGUGUUAUUCCUGACUAGUCCUGUGUAUUUCAGUCCGCGUUCGAGUACGUUUCCCUAGGUCUGUCAUUGCAGUCUAUUCACGUCUGAUUGUGUCGUGCUGUCUGUUCCAUGUCACUGCUCCAGUUCCCCAUUAAAUCCCGUGUUACUCAA